GACAGAGGUGCCGAGCGUUAGGCGGAAUCACUGGGCUUAAAGCGUGUGUAGGCGGACCUGUAAGUACCUUGUGAAAUCCCACGGCUCAACCGUGGAACUGCUGGGUAUACUGCGGGUCUUGAGCCACCUAGGGGCGAGCGGAACAAGUGGUGGAGCGGUGAAAUGCGUAGAUAUCACUUGGAACGCCAAUGGUGAAAACAGCUCGCUGGGAGUGUGCUGACGCUGAGACACGAAAGCCAGGGGAGCAAACGGG
rnacentral:rRNA from 1 species